AGUGUCUCACCUGCAGCUGCGGGCCCACAUCGGUGUUAGAACACACAGGACGGUCAACCUUCUCCCGGUGAAUACUAGCUAACUACCCGCGGGCUCCAUGGGUAACGGCUACAGCUUUCUAGGGCUACACCGAGCCGUUCACAAUGUGUUACUAAAGAAGGCCGGGAGAAUUCAUCACGAGACGAUUGGGACAUGUCAGAAAGUUCUUCAGGUGUGAACACUCUCAGUGGCAGUUUUCCCAAAUCCCACUCAUCCCAGUACUCUGACCUCGGGAUUACACGCACACCUCUCUCUGUAGACCAGAGUCCUGAUUCUGGACUUGUAUGUACACCUCUUCCUUCAAGUCGGUUCCGGUUUGUGUCGUGGCAUCACCUGGAGCAGUGUGAUGUCACGGGUGACCAGCUGACCUGCCCCAGGGUCAGAGAAGGUCUGGAUCGCUCUGAGAAAAUCACCACUGUGACCUAUGCACUUUGAUAUUCAAAAAUAUACACGGAUUAAAUGAAACAGAAGUAAAAAGAAAUGUGAUAUAAGGACUUUCUGUGAUAUUAAAGAAGGGAGUACAGUUUUCGUAGUUGAGAGUAGAUAGUAUGAGAAAAUUCAAUUCAUAAUUUUUGUGGGAGUUGUCACGACCUGGCUCAAAGGUAUGACAAAAAAGGGGGAGACACACAUGUAUUUCCAAUCAAAUCAAAUUUAUUUAAAUAACCAAGAUAAACGUGAAUUCAGUAAAUCUGUAAUGUGUGUAAUGUAUGGGUGUCUGUAAAUGUAUCAAAGCUACAACGCAAAAUAACUAAACCCAAAAUCCAAACAAACCAAACAGCAUGGAGGAGGGAGAGACCAUGACUACUCAGGCACUCCUAUUUAUAGACAGGUGAGCAAUCAAUUGCUCCAGGUGUCACUCAUCAGUCCUCAUUAGCCAAUGCCCAACUCCCAGCCACCAAACAGCCUCCAAAGGAACUUAGGCCUAGGAGCCGUCACAGAGUAAAAGAGAAACAGGGGCUCUUACAACCAGCCAUUGGAAAGUGGGAUUUAGGGUUAUGCUGCAGUGACCUGCAUUACUUAAAGAUGACUGUCAAAUGAACUUCUACACAGACCCCUACCUAAAUUUAAAUUGAACACUCCAAAAAAGCAAUUCAUGCUGUAGUAUAUUUUCCAUUUUGUGUUGCUUUCAUUUCAUGGCCAUCAGAAGAGCUGUUUCAAAGAGAGAGGAAUGACAUCUGUUUGGAGAGAGGGAGGAGAAGGAGAGAGGAGGAAGGACAAAGAUGGGAGGAUAGACUGCAAGAGAAUUGGGAAAAUUGUCUGGAGUUAAAUCUGUCCUACCAAGACUUGGGGGACCCCUUCCAGCAAGAGAAUUUCCUUCGGAUCCUCCGCCGGUUAUUCCGUGUGGAGAAACUACAACUAGUUGACAAUUCCCUCACCAACCUGAGUUCUGUACGUCUGCCAAGGUGCAAAAUGCUAAACCUGCACCGUAACCACCUGGUGUGUCUACGUCAGCUGCCAAAGCUCCCAGCUGUGGAGCACCUUUGUCUGUCUGAGAACGCCAUUGGCUCCCUGGGGGGACUGGGAGCUCUAGGGAACAGCCCCCUUCGCUCCCUCAUCCUAACCCGCAACCCAGUGACCUUCACUCAGGACUACCGAGCACGUGUUUUCCUCUGUUUGCCAAAGCUGGAGAUCCUGGAUGGAAUCCCCAAGUUGCCAGAAGACUCUCUGCCCACCAGACUACAGUUCUCCCAAACUACCAGGAUGUGUAACAUCUUAUGACAAUUCUCUCAAUGCGUGGAUGUGUAUGGAAUCAGUUCUCCCAAUCCUACAACACUUGACACAGUGACAAGGAUUCAGCAGAGCACUCUUCAGCAAACGUCGAAGUUGCACUAAUGGUUUCAUAGAGCUGUUCAAUUUAUUUACACAAAUCGUGUCCUGACAGGUGCCGAAAAACGCUGACAAUGACUGCCGUCACAGUAAAUGUAAUGUAAUGUGCUCCAAGGCCAUGCAAAUUAUUUUUUUAUA